UCUCCCUGCCUUUCAGGCAUCCUCUCCCAAAACUUCCAGGCCCGGUCGGCAACGACCGGGCCUUUUUUCUUGCUCGC
rnacentral:sRNA from 1 species